rnacentral:rRNA from 1 species
UACGUAGGACGCGAGCGUUAUCCGGAGUUACUGGGCGUAAAGCGCGGGCAGGCGGUCUGACAAGUCUGAUGUGAAAUCUCCGGGCUUAACCGGGAGAGGCCAUUGGAAACUGACAGGCUGGAGGGCAGUAGAGGUAGGCGGAAUUCCGGGUGGAGUGGUGAAAUGCGUAGAGAUCCGGAGGAACACCAGAGGCGAAGGCGGCCUGCUGGGCUGCACCUGACGCUGAGCCGCGAAAGCCAGGGGAGCGAACGGG